rnacentral:rRNA from 1 species
AGUGAACGCUGGCGGCAGGCCUAAUACAUGCAAGUCGAACGGUAACAGAUUUGAAGCAAUUCAAAUGCUGACGAGUGGCGCACGGGUGAGUAACACGUAGGUGACCUGUCCUAUAGUAAAGAACAACAAUGAGAAAUUAUUGCUAAUACUUUAUAAGUCCAUGAUUUUUGUAAUAUUUUAUUGGAGAAAGAUUUAUUCGCUAUUGGAGGGGCGUUGCGGGGUAGUUAGCUAGUUGGUGAGGUAAUGGCUCACCAAGGCUACGAUACCUAACCGGUCUGAGAGGAUGAUCGGUCACACUGGGACUGAGACACGGCCCAGACUCCUACGGGAGGCAGCAGUAGGGAAUAUUGCGCAAUGGAGGAAACUCUGACGCAGCGAUGCCGCGUGAGUGAGGAAGGUCUUCGGGUUGUAAAGCACUUUGUUGGGAGAACCGCGGUAUACCUGUUGAAUGACGGUACCCAAAGAAUAAGCACCGGCUAAC